AUGUCGGCGACGGCCAUCCGCUCCGGCGAGCUCCUCGCUUUUCCCGCCGCGCUGAGGCGUGGCCUGCCCGUGGCUUCUGCCUCGGUGGUCGCGUUCCGGUUGAGGGCGCCAGUGGCCGGGCGCGUGGCGGUCAGGGUUGUCGCGGCGGCGGCGGAGGGGGCAGGGGCGGAGGCGGAGGCGGAAGGGAAGCCGAAGCCGAAGAAGAAGAGGGCAGCGAGCGGGAUCAUGAAGCCUAAGCCGAUUUCUCCGGAGCUAAGGGAGUUUGUCGGAGGCGCGGCGGAGCUGCCCCGGACAGAGGCGCUCAAGAUCAUCUGGGCGCACAUCAAGGGAAACAACCUCCAGGAUCCCGAGAACAAGAAGAUAAUAGUCUGCGAUGAGAAACUGAAGAAGAUAUUUGGAGGGCGUGACCGUGUUGGGUUUCUUGAGAUCUCUGGGCUCCUCAAUCCCCAUUUCCAGAAAUGA
rnacentral:rRNA from 1 species